GAUGAACGCUGGCGGCGUGCCUAACACAUGCAAGUCGAACGGAGCUGCUUUGAUGAAGUUUUCGGAUGGAUUUAAAACAGCUUAGUGGCGGACGGGUGAGUAACGCGUGGGUAACCUGCCUCACACUGGGGGAUAACAGUUAGAAAUAGCUGCUAAUACCGCAUAAGCGCACGGUUCCGCAUGGAACAGUGUGAAAAACUCCGGUGGUGUGAGAUGGACCCGCGUCUGAUUAGCCAGUUGGCGGGGUAACGGCCCACCAAAGCGACGAUCAGUAGCCGGCCUGAGAGGGUGAACGGCCACAUUGGGACUGAGACACGGCCCAAACUCCUACGGGAGGCAGCAGUGGGGAAUAUUGCACAAUGGGGGAAACCCUGAUGCAGCGACGCCGCGUGAGUGAAGAAGUAUUUCGGUAUGUAAAGCUCUAUCAGCAGGGAAGAAAGUGACGGUA
rnacentral:rRNA from 1 species